GACGUAGGGCGCGAGCGUUGUCCGGAUUUAUUGGGCGUAAAGAGCUCGUAGGCGGCUUGUCGCGUCGACUGUGAAAACCCGCGGCUCAACUGUGGGCUUGCAGUCGAUACGGGCAGGCUGGAGUUCGGUAGGGGAGACUGGAAUUCCUGGUGUAGCGGUGGAAUGCGCAGAUAUCAGGAGGAACACCGGUGGCGAAGGCGGGUCUCUGGACAGUUCCUGACGCUGAGGCACGAAGGUCAGGGGAGCAAACGGG
rnacentral:rRNA from 1 species